rnacentral:lncRNA from 1 species
UCUUUGUGUGUGUGUCUGUGUGUGUGUGUCUGUGUGUGUGUGUCUGUGUGUGUGUCUGUGUAUGUGUGUCUGUGUGUGUGUGUCUGUGUGUGUGUGUCUGUGUGUGUGUGUCUGUGUGUCUGUGUGUGUGUGUCUGUGUGUGUGUCUGUGUGUGUGUGUCUGUGUGUGUGUGUCUGUGUGUCUGUGUGUGUGUGUCUGUGUGUGUGUGUCUGUGUAUGUGUGUCUGUGUCUGUCUGUGUGUGUGUGUGUCUGUGUGUGUGAAUGUGUGUGUGUCUGUGUGUGUAUCUCUCUCUCUCUCUCUGUGUGUGUCUGUGUGUGUGUACAUGCAUGCACAUGUGUAUGUGCAAGUAUUGAAAGGGAAGAGAACAAACGCCUGGGUGAGGGAGCUACACAGCUGUCUCUGUGUGACUGAUUUCUCUCUACCCAUGAUGCAUGCAGUCAUGGCCAGGAGUCCUAAUCAAAACUCAGGUUAGAGAGAGGAAAUGUCACAGGUUGCAUGGAAGUUGCCUAGGACACAGGAACCUCAGAAAUGGAAACCUAAAAAUCCAGAGAAAUGUUAUGCUUAGGUUUGCUGAAGACCGAGCAGGUUGAUGUAACCACACAAAGGGAGUGAUAUAAUGGCCAGACUGGGAGGGAGCCUCAGGGACCUAUCUGCCUGGAUGCUGUGUGGCGCACUUUCCUCCUAGCCUGGGGCAGGGCUCCUCUGCAAUGGGAGUUUUCUUUUUUUUUUUUUUAAGAUUUAUUUAUUUAUUAUAUGUAAGUACAUUGUAGCUGUCUUCAGACACUCCAGAAGAGGGAAUCAGAUCUCGUUACGGAUGGUUGUGAGCCACCAUGUGGUUGCUGGAAUUUGAACUCUGGACCUUCGGAAGAGCAGUCGGGUGCUCUUACCCACUGAGCCAUCUCACCAGCCCACAAUGGGAGUUUUCAAAGGCAAAGGGAGAGAGCUGCAGUGCAGGGUUUUAUGGCCCUAGUGGACCAGGUGGUUCUAGUUUCAAUGACAAACUCCAGGGGAGAAGAUAUUCUACUUUCUAGAAAGAAAAAAAGAAAAAGAAAACAAGAAACAAAGACCUAAAAUUCACUAUAAUGAAAAAAAGGUGGAAUUCCCAGAAAGCUAAAAGCCAUAAAUUUUUUGAUCCAAUCUAAUGUUGAUUGAACUUAAGCCAAUAUAUGGUAUGUUUGAAUUAGAACAACAGAAUUAAAGACUUGAAAGGGAGAAAUAACUUGAUGAUAGUAUCUGAAAUGAAAAGAUAAUUAAGCAUUUAAUCAUUUUCCUGGCUUUCUGCAAAAAGUUUUUGCCUUAUAUAAAAUACUUUGACUUUCUAGUGUUCUUUCUGCACUUAUACAUGUAGGCAUACUAUGUGUACAGAGGAUUGCCUAUGAUGAAUCCCGAGGCCUGAGACUCCCCUCAGGCUGCAACAACAGUGUACAUAGUGGAUCACAUGACAGCACACAUGGCUACUGCGCUGACAGCAUGCGGGAUGAGUACUAAGAUCCUUUGAGGGGUUGGGCUGAGGAACUUGCAUGGACUCCCUAUUGGCUGGACCUCUGAUGUACUCAAAAGUGAUGAACCACAAAUAGUACCUCAGCCUCCAUCAGAGUCCUGCCAUAACUCACAAUAGGUCACUGGGCAGGCAGCAUGUUGGUAUUCCUCUCUUGGAAGUGCUCUUAGGGUUUGACUGCUGUGAACAGAUACUGUGACCAAGACAAGUAUUAUAAAGAACAAUAUGUAAUUGGGGCUGGUUUACAGGUUCAGAGGUUCAUCAUCAAGGCAGGAACAUGGCAGCAUCCAGGCAGGCAUGGUACAGGAGGAGCUGAGAGUUCUACAUCAUCAUCUGAAGGCCUCUAGGAGAAGACUGGCUCCCACGAGGUUAGAAGGAGGGUCUCACUGACCACCCCCACAGUCACACACCUACUCCAACAAGGCCACAUCUCCUAAUAGUGCCACUCCCUGGGCAUAUAUAAAUCAUCACAUUCCACUCCCCAGCCCCCCAUAGGCUUGUUCAAAUAUAUGAGUUUAUGGUGGCCAUAUCUAGCCAUAUCAUAAUUUUUAAAAAUACAUUUAGCCCAACUUCCCAAGUCCCCAUAGUCCAUAGCAGUCUCAACAAUGUCAGAAGUCCAAAGUUCAAGGUCUCUUCUGAGAUUCAUCCAAUCACUUAACUGUAAUCCCCAAAGCAAGACAGGAAAUCAGCUGGGCAAACUCCAAACUCUUCAUCUCAUGUCUGAUGUCAAUGCGGUCUUCAGAUCUCCACUCCUUUUUUUAUCUUUGUUGAAUGCAACCACUUCUUUCUCCUGGAUUGGUUCCGCUCUCUGUUAGCAGCUUUCCUCAGCAAGUAUCCUACAGCUCUGAUAUCUCUAACAUCUUGAGGUCUCCAAGGCAACUUAAUGUUCCAACUUCUUGCCUGGAUUUAAGCUUUUCUUCACUUCAAACUUGGUCUGUCCCAGGCUGGCCUUGAACUCAGAGAUCUGCUUGGCUUUAUCUCCUGAGAUUAAAGGUGUGUGUCACCAUGCCUAGAUCUAAACUCAGCUGGGUAGGAUCCUGCCCCAAAGUCCCACUGCCUUAAUUUGUUAUCUCCUUGAACACAGAACUCAGCCCCAUUUCACUUCCAGGCACCCCUUUAACACUCGAACCAUAUUUUCCAUAUUUUUCCUUUCUCAGCUUGCUAUGCUUGUUUAAAAUGCUCUUCAUGAGAAGUUCUCUGCUUGAUGUUUCUGAGACUUCCUUUGUCAAUGCAAUUAAUCUGAGUCUCUUCACCUUAGCCUCAGGCAGACUUUUCAGACAAGGGCAAAAAGUAGUCACAUUCUUCACCAAAAUACCACAAAACAGUCUCUAGUCCACAUAUUGAAAUUCUCCACUGAACUAUCUUGGGCCAGGCUUUCACAAUUCAAAUCACCCUCAGUAACAAAGUCUUCCAUAUUCCUACUAGGAUGGCCCACUGAGCCCUAUUUAAAGCAUUCUACUGCUUUCCAAAUCCAAAAUCCCUAAAGCAUGGUCAGGCCUAUCGCAGCAGUACCCCACUCCCUGUACCAGUUUCUGUCUUAGCUAGGGUUUUACUGCUAUGAACAGACACCAUGACCAAGGCAAAUUUUAUAAAGGACAACAUUCAACAGGGGCUGGCUUACAGAUUCAGAGGUUCAGUCCAGUAUCAUCAAGGUGGGAACAUGGCAGCAUCCAGGCAGGCAUGGUGCAGGAGGAGCUGAGAGUUCUACAUCUUCAUCUGAAGGCUGCUAGCAGAAUACUGACUUCCAGGCAGCUAGGGUGAGGGUCUUAAGCCCAUGCCCACAGUGACAUGCCUACUCCAACAAGGCCACACCUCCUAAUAGUGCCACCCCCUAGACAAAGCAUACACAAACCAUCACAUGUUUCUACUCUUGGGAGUUCUUUCUUACUUAUCCUUAAUAAUCUGCCUUUUCUCUGCUCCCUUCUUGUCCUUAUCCCUUGUUCUUCUUGGGUGUGAGACAACAAAUUCAAAAGUCACUGGCUUGAGUUGACUUCUAGUUCCACUCUGUUGCUGAUAGAACAUUCUGACCAAAAGCCAUUUGGGAGAGAAAGGAUUUGUCUCACAUUUCCAGGUCAUAAUCCAGGCAUGUGGCAGGCUUAUGGUUAUCUAACCUUUUAAUACCAGCCUAGUGCUACCUGCCAAGGGAAUUGUGUCACCCAGAGUGGGCUGGAUUCUCUUAUACCAAUUAACAAUAAAGACAAACCCCUAUAGAAGUGCCCACAGGCCAAUCUGAUCUGGGCAAUCUCUCAGUUAAGACUUCCUUCUCAGAUGAUGCUAGGCCAGUGAUACUCAACCUUCCUAAAGCUACCUACAUAAUGCCACCCUUUGAUAUAGUUCUUCAUGUUGUAGUGACCCUCAAACAUAAAAUUAAUUCGUUGCUAUUUCAUAACUGUAAUUUUGCUACUGUUAUGAAUCAUAAUGUAAAUAUCUGAUAUACAGGCUGUCUGAUCUGCUACCUCUGUGAAAGGGUCAUUCAACCCCCAAAGGGGUGGUGAGCACAGGUUAAGAACUGCUGCUCCAGGCUGUGUCAUUGACAGUUAACACUAACUAGUGACUGCUGUCCACUGGGCACCCUUGCUCCCUGAGUUAGUUCAACAAGAGCUGGAAAGAAAAAAAAAUCAGAAAAAAUAUUCAAAACAAAUCAACUCAACAAGUUUUGUGGGGUUUUUGUUUGUUUGUUUUGUUUUGUGUUGUUGAGUUGUUGCUGUUGCUCUUGUUGUUUUUAAUGUUAACGGUACUGGAGAUUAAAUCCAGCACCUGGGUCCCUAAUAUUGAUGAGUGCUUUAGCCCUGAGCUACAUGCCAGCUCUGAAAGUCUUGAUGGUGAAAUAAAUGUCAGAUUAACUUCUUGUCCUUCUGAAACUCCAUUGACGUCCACUUUGUUAUUAUAAGAAGAAAAUUACCCAUAG